AGUGGCGGACGGGUGAGUAACGCGUGAGAAUCUGGCUUUAGGUCUGGGACAACCACUGGAAACGGUGGCUAAUACCGGAUGUGCCCUUUGGGGUGAAAGGUUAACUGCCUGAAGAUGAGCUCGCGUCUGAUUAGCUAGUAGGUGUGGUAAAGGCGCACCUAGGCGACGAUCAGUAGCUGGUCUGAGAGGACGAUCAGCCAUACUGGGACUGAGACACGGCCCAGACUCCUACGGGAGGCAGCAGUGGGGAAUUUUCCGCAAUGGGCGAAAGCCUGACGGAGCAAUACCGCGUGAGGGAGGAAGGCUCUUGGGUCGUAAACCUCUUUUCUCAGGGAAGAACACAAUGACGGUACCUGAGGAAUAAGCAUCGGCUAACUCCGUGCCAGCAGCCGCGGUAAUACGGAGGAUGCAAGCGUUAUCCGGAAUGAUUGGGCGUAAAGCGUCCGCAGGUGGCUAUGUAAGUCUGCUGUUAAAGAAUCUAGCUCAACUAGAUACAAGCAGUGGAAACUACAAGGCUAGAGUACGUUCGGGGCAGAGGGAAUUCCUGGUGUAGCGGUGAAAUGCGUAGAGAUCAGGAAGAACACCGGUGGCGAAGGCGCUCUGCUAGGCCGUAACUGACACUGAGGGACGAAAGCUAGGGGAGCGAAUGGGAUUAGAUACCCCAGUAGUCCUAGCCGUAAACGAUGGAUACUAGGCGUGGCUUGUAUCGACCCGAGCCGUGCCGUAGCUAACGCGUUAAGUAUCCCGCCUGGGGAGUACGCCGGCAACGGUGAAACUCAAAGGAAUUGACGGGGGCCCGCACAAGCGGUGGAGUAUGUGGUUUAAU
rnacentral:rRNA from 1 species